UGGGGAAUAUUGCACAAUGGGCGAAAGCCUGAUGCAGCGACGCCGCGUGCGGGAUGAAGGCCUUCGGGUUGUAAACCGCUUUUAAUUGGGAGCAAGCGAGAGUGAGUGUACCUUUUGAAUAAGCACCGGCUAACUACGUGCCAGCAGCCGCGGCAAUACGUAGGGUGCAAAGCGUUAUCCGGAAUUAUUGGGCGUAAAGAGCUCGUAG
rnacentral:rRNA from 1 species